rnacentral:rRNA from 1 species
AGAGCGAACGCUGGCGGCAGGCCUAACACAUGCAAGUCGAACGCCCCUUCGGGGGAGUGGCGGACGGGUGAGUAACGCGUGGGAAUGUGCCCUUUGGUACGGAACAACUGAGGGAAACUUCAGCUAAUACCGUAUGUGCCCUUCGGGGGAAAGAUUUAUCGCCAUUGGAGCAGCCCGCGUUGGAUUAGGUAGUUGGUGGGGUAAAGGCCUACCAAGCCUACGAUCCAUAGCUGGUCUGAGAGGAUGAUCAGCCACACUGGGACUGAGACACGGCCCAGACUCCUACGGGAGGCAGCAGUGGGGAAUCUUGCGCAAUGGGCGAAAGCCUGACGCAGCCAUGCCGCGUGUAUGAUGAAGGUCUUAGGAUUGUAAAAUACUUUCACCGGGGAAGAUAAUGACGGUACCGGAGAAGAAGCCCGGCUAACUUCGCGCCAGCAGCCGC